AGUUGUCAUGGAGUAGUACUGUA
rnacentral:miRNA from 1 species